GUGCUCGCUUCGGCAGCACAUAUACUAAAUUGGAACAUUACAGAGAAGAUUAGCAUGGCCCCUG
ensembl:snRNA U6 U6 spliceosomal RNA